UACGAAGGGGGCUAGCGUUGUUCGGAAUUACUGGGCGUGAAGGGCACGUAGGCGGUUAUUUAAGUCAGGGGGGAAAUCCCAGAGCUCAACUCUGGAACUGCCUUUGAUACUGGGUAUCUCGAGUAUGGAAGAGGUGAGUGGAAUUCCGAGUGUAGAGGUGAAAUUCGUAGAUAUUCGGAGGAACACCAGUGGCGAAGGCGGCUCACUGGUCCAUUACUGACGCUGAGGUGCGAAAGCGUGGGGAGCAAACAGG
rnacentral:rRNA from 1 species